rnacentral:lncRNA from 1 species
UUUUGAAGCAUAUAAUUCCAGAGAUUUACUUGUUUGAAUAUGGACAGCCUUAAUGUGAUGCCACACGUGCCACAUGGUGGGUGUUAUUGCUGAAGGAGCAAACUCCUUUAUCACAGCAAGUUCUUUACUGCCCGAAGGGAUCAAGGCUGCAUGAACCAACCAGGUCGUAGCAUCAGAUACUUCAGGAGAGCAGUCAGGGCCACAGAGACACUGGGGAGUCUCUGGCUUAGAUGUGAUCAGUGAAACCCUAAAGGCACUCCAGCAACACAGGACUGAGUCCAGAGGGCUGUCACUCACAAAGCAGGUUAGUAGAGGAAUUGACUGCAGGGAUACUGACCAGUGGGUGGAAGGAGCAAGGACCACAGCAGGGAGAUCAUAGAGGGUUUGGUACAUUUUACAUAAAAGAGGGGUCAUCAAUGUCCAAAGAGAAUGAGAAGUAGGGCAGGGCCUUGGGUGCUACAGCAAACAGGGCUCUAGGGGACAAGGUGGGAUUGGGGAGAGAGAAGGCAGCAUCUGGGGAUGGCUCCAGUGAAGAUCAGAUCUUUACCACAAGACAGAGAGAGCUGGGGGGCAGAAACUGCAAACUCCUUGAGGGCAGGAAGAGCAGCUCACCUGUGUGCCUGAUGUUUUCUGCAGUGCCAGUCACGUUGCUGAAUGCUGGAUACAUGUCCUGCAGUGGAUGAGGGUGCUUUGGAAGCUGGGCUUACGGAAUUCCCAGGAAAGCACAUGUGGCUGUGAGAAGGCUUCCGUGCAUGUAGACUUUCAGGGUGCCCUCUUGGGACCAUGGUCUAAACUGUGAGUGCUGAUACUGUUCUGACGUAGACAUUGCUCAUCAACAGAUUCUAAAGAAGGCUGAGAAUGCAGGAUUUCUGGAAUGUUGUCUUUCCCCAAGGGGAUAAAUUUUUGAGAGGCCAAAAAGAGAAUAUUUGUGCAGAAUCAGGGCUGAAAGGAAAUAGAAGCCGGACUGGCCACCUCUGCUCCAAAUUGUCUUUCUCAGCAGAGCCAUUUCCAGGCAUAGCUCUGUCUCCAUCUCCGUGGAGGCCACUGGCAGAGUCCCAGGGAUUCAUCCAACGGCCUGGGAGGCCUCUCUUCCUGCUGCCGAUGCGGAUGAAGACAGGCCCCUUGCUGC